rnacentral:antisense_RNA from 1 species
CUGGCGUACUCUUUAGUUUUUGGAGAAAAAUUAACUCCUAAAACUUGUUUGAAAUAAUUUCUUGCUCGACCAUUUCCACCAAUAUCCAUCCUCACCAGCUGAAUUGGAGUAAAUUUAUCAAGAUCAGAUGACCUUACAAAACUAAUAUGUACUCCCAUCUUCCUAUGAUCAGAGGAACAAUUUAGGCAAAUGAAUACAGCAAAUGAUAAUGAAAGCCAUGUGGGAUUCCUAGAUUCGCAAUCAAAGCAAGUUCGAUUUUCCGGCCUAUUUCUCACAAUUUGGAAGAAAUUAUCUCUGAGUUUAUCGGAAACAAACCCUUUUUCGUCUACAUCAGCAUUAAUUAAAUUUGAAAUAUUCAUAUUUUGUUAAUGUUCAGUUCUACCGCGCAAGAAUUCUUUACUUCGGAAAUUUCUUAUUGGUAAUUCUCCUCAUAAUAUUCUUCAAAUUGUUCCAUGCGGCUUGGUUUCUAAUAAGUUGUGGGUUCUUAAGACAGCUUGUAUGUAUUGCAAUAAUGUAUAGUUGUGAUAUGUUUAGCUCCUUUUGUCUGCAUAAAUGCAUAACUUUCAUCCUUAAUGACACACUAUAAAAUUCUUGCUUUGUUUGGAUGAAAUUAUAUGUGAACAAACCUACUGAUCUUUGUAUAUAUGUUGCGUAACGACCAAUAGUAACAACCCAUGACAUUGCAGAUUCUAAUGAACUGGCAAUGAAAUCCGAACAAAACGUAUCAUAUCCAUCAAGAAUUCGAAUGCUAAAAAACAGCCACGGGGAAUUUAUUACUUCAUUCUUAUCUUCUUCUGCUUCACUUUUUGUCUGGCGUUUAAACAGCUCGUGAAAGAAGCCUUUAGGCUGAUUAAUUCUUCGAAAUGAGUUAGAGUUAUUUCCAUAAUCAAUACCUAUCACUUUUUCCAAAGGUAUGGUUUUCACAACGUUGCUUGAAGUUGUGUAUUCAAAUGUUGUGCCAACAAUUCUGCAAUAACACUUUAAAGUAUUACCAUGACUACCUUGUAAUUUAUGUAAAAUUGAGCCAUUUCUAACUUCAAAUGUUAAACUAGGUUCAAGAGCGUUACCUGGCCGACCAACACUAUUAAAUAGCAAUCUUUUAAGAUUAAUAAUCUUUUCUUUAGAAUUUGUCAGUUGUGUUUUUAAGCUAUUCACAAGCAUAUAUGAGUCUUGAAUUCUUCGAUUUUCAUUUGCAAUUAUAUCGUUUUUAAAAUGAG